CAGUCGCCGCGGGAAUACGUAGGUGGCAAGCGUUGUCCGGAAUUAUUGGGCGUAAAGCGCGCGCAGGCGGAUAGGUCAGUCUGUCUUAAAAGUUCGGGGCUUAACCCCGUGAUGGGAUGGAAACUGCCAAUCUAGAGUAUCGGAGAGGAAAGUGGAAUUCCUAGUGUAGCGGUGAAAUGCGUAGAUAUUAGGAAGAACACCAGUGGCGAAGGCGACUUUCUGGACGAAAACUGACGCUGAGGCGCGAAAGCCAGGGGAGCGAACAGGAUUAGAUACCCCUGUAGUCCCUGUCUCUUAUACA
rnacentral:rRNA from 1 species